rnacentral:rRNA from 1 species
GAGAAUAAUUCACAAUGGGGGCAACCCUGAUGGUGCAACGCCGCGUGGAGGAUGACGGUCUUCGGCUUGUAAACUCCUGUCAUCCGGGAGUAAGACCUGGCUGUUAAUAGCAGACAGGGUUGAUAGUACCGGAAGAGGAAGGGACGGCUAACUUCGUGCCAGCAGCCGCGGUAAUACGAAGGUCCCGAGCGUUGUUCGGAAUCACUGGGCGUAAAGGGUGCGUAGGCGGCGUGGUAAGUCAGAUUUG